GCCUGGUUGAAUCAGUUGGUGGAGCAUGUGACUCUUGAUCUCAGGGUUGUGAGUUCAAGCCCCAUACUGGGCA
rnacentral:tRNA from 1 species